GAGGCGGUCCCGAAGCCGGCCUGCUGCUCUGUGGGGCAGAAGCCGCUUGGUUUUCCCGUUUCCUCGCGCGCCUGGCCUGCGCGUCCCCAUGCCUCGAGCUUCGGCGGGGCCCGUCCUUUGUGCGGGUCCCCGCGCUGGGACCCGGCGGGUGCCGACAAAGCGGGGGCGUCAGGGCCUGCAGAGUGCGGGAGAGCCGAGGCGUGCCCGCCCGAAGGCUCGAAGCCACUGCAGAGAAGAGGACAAAGGGCAUCCCAGGGGGCCCGGGGACCCAGAAGGAAGGGAUGAGCCACGAACGUACCGGGCUCAGGGUUUAUAAAACGCUUCCCGGGCAGCCUGUCAGUUUACCCAACUUUCUCAAGCUCAGUCGAUUAAGCUAGUAUUGACACCAUGCGCGCUGAUGAUUGGCUUGGCUUUUGUUUCUUGAAACAUUUUCAAAUAUUCGUCUGGUUAUUUCCACGAGAGGGAAUUGCUCUGUCAAAGAGUAUGGACUUUUUUAAAGGCUUUUGAUGCAUAUUGGCAAACCGCUUUCCGGAAGGUCCGCCAGUUUAGGCUUGUUCUUGGUGGGAAGUAGGUAGGGACCUGCAGGCAGAGCUGAGGACUGGGAGGGCGGCCUCUCCGCGGGGAGUUGCGGGGAGGCUGAGAAUACCUGCCUUCAAGGGACAACCUGUGGUUCCCUGUGGGUGAUGACCAGGUGGGCAGGGGCGCUGGAAUGGCGGUGUGGGCCAUAUUGUGGGACCUGAUUCUUAUUGGAUUUGGGAACACGGGGCAGCCAGAGGGAUUCUUUGAAAAUACAGAUUGGAUCAUGGUCCUUUCUUGCUUAACACCCUUGGAGCAGUGGUUCCCCACUGCUCUUAAGGUAAAAUCCAAAAUCUCUUCAGGGCCCACCAGGCUCUCCUGUGUCUCCAGCCCUCUCUCCGGCUGCAUAUUCAUUUGGUAGGGCUGCUGUCACAAAGUACUACAAACUUGGUGGCCUUAAACAACAGAAAUAUAUUGGCUAUAAAUCCAAAAUCAGGGUGUCAUCAGGUUGGUUCUUACUGGAGGCUCUAGGGAGAAUCUAUUCCACACUUCUCCCCUAGUGUAACCAGACUAAAAAGCCCAAUCACCCAGGUUCCUGGUCAGCAUAAGAGAGGAAUUCAGACACCGACACAUGGGCAACAGCCAGCAAGCAAAGAUUUAUUAGAGGAGAGGUCAGAUACACUCCAAGUGAGGAGCGGGCAGUGCCAGGGAACGCAUCUGCCCCGUGUCUUGGGACAGAUGUUUUAUUUUUAUUAGUUUUAUUUUUAUUUGGGCCAUUUAGAGGGAAUUUGCAUUAUCUGGUUAUCCGCCAAUAAUGGUUUUUCCUCCACCUGUACGUUGGGAGGGGAAGUUCUUGACCUUUUAGAGGAGUCUCCGGAACUGUCAUGGCAGUCAUCACUCGUGGAAGGGGGGUUAAUGCAUAUGGAAUUUGUAUGUAAAUUAAAGAAAGAUCAGUGUCCUCUAGGGGUGUAGAGCAGAAGGCUUUGUUUUGUGCACUCGUUAUUUUUAUCGUGGUGGUUGAAGGUCUCAGGCUCCGGUGUUAUCUGUAUGUUGUGGGAUGCCAGCAAGGCGCUUCUUUGAUAUAGCAAGGUCUCAGCUGUGAUUCCCCACUCUUGUCUGGAUGCCAAUAAGGUGCUCCACUGAUGCAGCAAGGUCUCCAACCAUGAUCCCCAGCUCAUGUCUACCUAGCUACCUAUCUCAGUAGCUUCUGGCGGUUGUCAGCAGUCCUGGGCAUCCCUUGGCUUGUAGAAGCAUCACUCCGAUGUCUGCCUCCCUUGUCAUGUGGCGUACUCCCUGUGGGUCUCUCUCUGUGUCUCUUCUCAUAAGGACGACAGUCAUAUUGCAUUACAGAGGGCCCACCUACUUCAGCCUGACCUCGCCUUAAUUUCACUACAUCUGCAAUGACUCUAUUUCCAAAUAAGGCCACAUUCUGAGCUUCCUGGAAGGAUGAAUUUGGGGAAGACACUAUUCAACCCACAAGAAGCUGUCUCCCCCGACUCUGGCACCCAGGCCUUCUCUCUGCUUGUCUGGCUCAGGCUCUGCCACGCUGCCCAGUCCCCCUGAGCCCCUCAUCUCCUAACUAACUUCCCUUCCUCCUUCAAGGUGUUGUGGAGAUGUGGCUGCCACAGAGAAGCUCUCCUGGACCUGCAGAUCCUAAGGUCACCCUGCCCUGUUCUGUGGGCUCACGCCACUCCUCACAGUGACAACUGAAGAAGGAAGUACCUGAGGGACAGUGUGUCACACUGGUGUGUGCCUCCUCCGCUAGAAGGUCGGCCCCACUAGGGCAGGACCAGCCCCCCUGGAUGAACAAUAACAAACCUAAUAUUGUUGAGUCCACUGCAGAGAGCCCACUGCAAAGGUUCGUGAGGCGGUGGUCCUGGUCCCCUUGAGGAGACAGGUCUGCAUUCAGUCCAGGCCCCACCCUUCACUAGCGGCACAGGAAGUAAAGCCCACUUCUGACCAUGGGUCACAGGCCCACCUUCCUGGCCUCUGCUCGAAUCUGUGUCCCGCUCUGUCCCUUUGCCGCAGCCACACUGGCACUGUUCAUGCUCCUCGAUCUGCCGAGCUACUUCCUGCCUCAGGUCCUUGACAGUCACUGUAUCCGCAGCCUGGAAUGCUCUGUAUCCGCAUUUUUACACACUCACUUCCUAGCAUUCAGACUUAAGCUCAAACUGUCACUUCCCUGAGCACCCCAUCUCGCCCCUGUCGUCUUCUGUCACAUCACCCCGCUGUAUUCCUACAGCAUUUUCAGCAUCUGUGAUGAUCAUGUUCAUUUAUUUGUUUGCUUGUCUAUCACCCUACACCUCCUGGAAUAUAAGCUCCAUGAGGGCAGGGACUUUAUUUGCCCUGUUCACUGCUGAGCCCUCAGUGCCUAGACUAGAAUUUGAAAGACAGUAGUGCUUACUAAGUGUUUGUUGAAAGACUGAAUGAAAGUCACUUAACUCCUCUGAGUCUCUGUUUCUUCAACUAUAAAAGGGGAGUGAUCUUAGCUACUUCAUGGUAAACGAUAAUUUUACCUACAUCCAAGAGUUCUUGGGAGGAUGAAAUGGGAAGACGUACGUGCAGUGCCUCCAACAGAGUCAACACUCAACAUAUGGGAGCCGUUAUUCAUACCUUAGAAUGACACACAUCCUAACCUGGAGGGGGAGAGAUGGCAGACGAAGCUGUGAGGCUGUGUCUUCAUCUGCAAAGUGGAAACGAUGACUUCUAUAAAAGCUUAAACGAGUUUCUUUGCCUUUAUGCCGUGGAGCAAAUGGUGAAAACUUACGUGUGUCUGCAAGAGGAACAUAAUGCCAGCAGGCCGGACAACGAGGGCCUCCGGACAGGAUUUACUGAGAUUGAACACUGACCCUGGUCUACUAGCUCCUCAUUUCCUUUUGUGACUUGUCUGUUGAUGGUUUUUGUGUUAUAUGUGGGCUCUUUACAUAUUAAGGAUAUUAAUUUGUAACAUUUUGUCUGUCAUAAAUGAUGGAAAUAUUUUCCCAGCUUGCUAUUAACCUUUCAAUUUUGUUCAUAUACCUAAAUUUUUAAUGUUACUGUAGCCAAAUCUAUUGGUAUUUUCUGUUGGGAUUUCUUCCAUUGAAAGGCCUUCCCUGCCAUUCAGAAAUCAGUUAGAUAUUCAUUUAUAUUCUCUUAUACUUUUAUUUAUGUUUGCUAUUUUAUACAUAAUGCUUUAAUCCACUCAGAAUUUGUUUUGAUCACAAAGAGAAGUUCAGUUGCUACUUUAAUUAUUUUUCCCAAAUGGCCAACUAAAUUCUCCCAGUGUAAUUUUAUGUAAAUGACCCUUCCUUUCCCCUGUGACUGUAUGACUCUGUAACUAUCAGGCAUAAAAUGCUGUGGUUACAUGUAUGGACUCUGGCGCCAGAAGGCUGAGUUUGCAACGCUGCUCGCUAAUCAUUCCACCUUGGACAACUCAUUGAACAUCUCAGCACCUCGGUUUCCUUGUCUGAAGGACUGGGCUGACAACCAGAGCUCCUGUCUCAGGCGGUUGCUGUGGACUUAAGGACUGCUCAGCACACAUUAGUGAUUACCUUUUACCAAGUUUGAAUGCAUACUUCGGGAUGUCCUCAGGUCUGGAGCUCAGGUGUGCUGUCCUCGUGAUGCUCUCAGCCUCGUGUUGUGGUAGAUGUUCUAGUGUUUACUGGGACAUGUCCUCCAAUGUUGCUUCUGUUAUCUUCACAGUUUUCUUAGCUUCUGUCACCUAUUUUAUUUUCGGAAAUAAACGGUCUACCUUUUAUUUACUAA